UUUCUGCUUUCUAUGUCUCUGGCAACGGCACCGGGCAUUUCACCCUGGACUAAAGAGGCAGACAGAUAGGAAAAUGUUGCUAGACCCUCUUGUUAAAUGACACAUUUCUCGAGCUAGGAAUAUGGCAAAAAAAAUAGGAUUAAAUGGCUCAUUCGAGUGAAGACAUCUUUUUGAAUGUUAAAUGACGAGACAGAGGGGAGUUGACAGAGACCGAAGGGGAGACUAUAAGAGGAGGAACGUUGACGUGUACAGCGGACGUAUCAGCACAGCGUUG
ensembl:lncRNA